rnacentral:lncRNA from 1 species
UACUGCAGCUACACCACCACCUACGUACUGGGAGCUGCAGUCACCCAGCAGAGACUCCCUAUUUCAGUCCCAUAGUGCCAAGGAAAUGUCUCCAUUGCCCUCAUGGAAAGCUACCAUUUCACUCCUCCUCUCAGAGGAAGUGCACACUGUGGGAUACACCCAUGUGCCAUUUACCUGGACCAAUAGCUGGCUGGCAAAGACUGGAAUUCUGAAUGAUAUUACAACAAAUCUGAAACAGCUGGGAAAAAGGUCUUCAAGAAGAUGUUUACCAGGCUGUAUAACAAAUUUCCUGAAUGGAAGAAACAGCUAAGGUUAUUGAGGAUGACCAGAAGACAUGAGGCAGACUGGCUGACCCGUCACAGGAAAAUGAUAAAUUUGGUUUUGAGGAAUACAAUGUGAAUAUGAUGCCCAAAAGCAGCAAUCAGUCACACCAAAAGAAAUGAACAAAUAAAACCAAAGCUAGGAAAACA